GGGUUGUGAGGUUAAGCGACUAAGCGUACACGGUGGAUGCCCUGGCAGUCAGAGGCGAUGAAGGGCGUGCUAAUCUGCGAUAAGCGCCGGUAAGGUGAUAUGAACCGUUAUAACCGGCGAUACCCGAAUGGGGAAACCCAGUGUGAUUCGUCACACUAUCAUUAACUGAAUCCAUAGGUUAAUGAGGCGAACCGGGGGAACUGAAACAUCUAAGUACCCCGAGGAAAAGAAAUCAACCGAGAUUCCCCCAGUAGCGGCGAGCGAACGGGGAGGAGCCCAGAUCCUGAAUCAGCAUGUGUGUUAGUGGAAGCGUCUGGAAAGGCGCGCGAUACAGGGUGACAGCCCCGUACACAAAAGCGCAUGUGCUGUGAGCUCGAUGAGUAGGGCGGGACACGUGGUAUCCUGUCUGAAUAUGGGGGGACCAUCCUCCAAGGCUAAAUACUCCUGACUGACCGAUAGUGAACCAGUACCGUGAGGGAAAGGCGAAAAGAACCCCGGCGAGGGGAGUGAAAAAGAACCUGAAACCGUGUACGUACAAGCAGUGGGAGCACAGGUUUACCUGUGUGACUGCGUACCUUUUGUAUAAUGGGUCAGCGACUUAUAUUCUGUAGCAAGGUUAACCGCAUAGGGGAGCCGGAGGGAAACCGAGUCUUAAUUGGGCGUUAAGUUGCAGGGUAUAGACCCGAAACCCGGUGAUCUAGCCAUGGGCAGGUUGAAGGUUGGGUAACACUAACUGGAGGACCGAACCGACUAAUGUUGAAAAAUUAGCGGAUGACCUGUGGCUGGGGGUGAAAGGCCAAUCAAACCGGGAGAUAGCUGGUUCUCCCCGAAAGCUAUUUAGGUAGCGCCUCGUGAAUUCAUCUCCGGGGGUAGAGCACUGUUUCGGCUAGGGGGCCAUCCCGGCUUACCAACCCGAUGCAAACUGCGAAUACCGGAGAAUGUUAUCACGGGAGACACACGGCGGGUGCUAACGUCCGUCGUGAAGAGGGAAACAACCCAGACCGCCAGCUAAGGUCCCAAAGUCAUGGUUAAGUGGGAAACGAUGUGGGAAGGCCCAGACAGCCAGGAUGUUGGCUUAGAAGCAGCCAUCAUUUAAAGAAAGCGUAAUAGCUCACUGGUCGAGUCGGCCUGCGCGGAAGAUGUAACGGGGCUAAACCAUGCACCGAAGCUGCGGCAGCGAACGUAUCACUUAAAGCGAUUCAGCGGGUUACGAUUGACGGAGCGAAGCGACGUCAAAGCGUAUACAAAGUCGAGUCGGUUUAAGGAUACGUUCGUUGGGUAGGGGAGCGUUCUGUAAGCCUGCGAAGGUGGCCUGUGAGGGUUGCUGGAGGUAUCAGAAGUGCGAAUGCUGACAUAAGUAACGAUAAAGCGGGUGAAAAGCCCGCUCGCCGGAAGACCAAGGGUUCCUGUCCAACGUUAAUCGGGGCAGGGUGAGUCGACCCCUAAGGCGAGGCCGAAAGGCGUAGUCGAUGGGAAACGGGUUAAUAUUCCCGUACUUGGUGUUACUGCGAAGGGGGGACGGAGAAGGCUAUGUUGGCCGGGCGACGGUUGUCCCGGUUUAAGCGUGUAGGCUGGUUUUCCAGGCAAAUCCGGAAAAUCAAGGCUGAGGCGUGACGACGAGGCACUACGGUGCUGAAGUAACAAAUGCCCUGCUUCCAGGAAAAGCCUCUAAGCAUCAGGUAACAUCAAAUCGUACCCCAAACCGACACAGGUGGUCAGGUAGAGAAUACCAAGGCGCUUGAGAGAACUCGGGUGAAGGAACUAGGCAAAAUGGUGCCGUAACUUCGGGAGAAGGCACGCUGAUAUGUAGGUGAAGUGAUUUACUCACGGAGCUGAAAUCAGUCGAAGAUACCAGCUGGCUGCAACUGUUUAUUAAAAACACAGCACUGUGCAAACACGAAAGUGGACGUAUACGGUGUGACGCCUGCCCGGUGCCGGAAGGUUAAUUGAUGGGGUCAGCGCAAGCGAAGCUCCUGAUCGAAGCCCCGGUAAACGGCGGCCGUAACUAUAACGGUCCUAAGGUAGCGAAAUUCCUUGUCGGGUAAGUUCCGACCUGCACGAAUGGCGUAAUGAUGGCCAGGCUGUCUCCACCCGAGACUCAGUGAAAUUGAACUCGCUGUGAAGAUGCAGUGUACCCGCGGCAAGACGGAAAGACCCCGUGAACCUUUACUAUAGCUUGACACUGAACAUUGAGCCUUGAUGUGUAGGAUAGGUGGGAGGCUUUGAAGUGUGGACGCCAGUCUGCAUGGAGCCGACCUUGAAAUACCACCCUUUAAUGUUUGAUGUUCUAACGUGGACCCGUAAUCCGGGUUGCGGACAGUGUCUGGUGGGUAGUUUGACUGGGGCGGUCUCCUCCUAAAGAGUAACGGAGGAGCACGAAGGUUGGCUAAUCCUGGUCGGACAUCAGGAGGUUAGUGCAAUGGCAUAAGCCAGCUUGACUGCGAGCGUGACGGCGCGAGCAGGUGCGAAAGCAGGUCAUAGUGAUCCGGUGGUUCUGAAUGGAAGGGCCAUCGCUCAACGGAUAAAAGGUACUCCGGGGAUAACAGGCUGAUACCGCCCAAGAGUUCAUAUCGACGGCGGUGUUUGGCACCUCGAUGUCGGCUCAUCACAUCCUGGGGCUGAAGUAGGUCCCAAGGGUAUGGCUGUUCGCCAUUUAAAGUGGUACGCGAGCUGGGUUUAGAACGUCGUGAGACAGUUCGGUCCCUAUCUGCCGUGGGCGCUGGAGAACUGAGGGGGGCUGCUCCUAGUACGAGAGGACCGGAGUGGACGCAUCACUGGUGUUCGGGUUGUCAUGCCAAUGGCACUGCCCGGUAGCUAAAUGCGGAAGAGAUAAGUGCUGAAAGCAUCUAAGCACGAAACUUGCCCCGAGAUGAGUUCUCCCUGAGACUUAGAGUCUCCUGAAGGAACGUUGAAGACGACGACGUUGAUAGGCCGGGUGUGUAAGCGCAGCGAUGCGUUGAGCUAACCGGUACUAAUGAACCGUGAGGCUUAACCUUACAACGCCGAAG
rnacentral:rRNA from 1 species